CAAGCGGGUUCCGUACGUUCGCAAUGCUGCGUUCGAUGCAUCCUCCGUUUAGAAAACCCAACCCGAGUGAGAACACGAGGACCGCUUAUUGAGAAAAGGCUGAAGGAUGUUGACACGUCACGAGUAGGCGGAUCAAAACGUACAUCAGGCAAAUCAAGGCAUGGCAAGUAGAGAACAGCAAUCAGAUCACAUAUUCAUAUGACUGACAAACAAAUCCACAAAUAAUUGACAACCGCAAGCUAUGAAGGGAAUGUGCGAGAAGAGAAGAAAGGGUCAACACAUCAUCAUGGGCCGUUGUUAUGGCAAAUGGAAAUUCGAGAUCCAAAAGUAUCAAUUUGGAAUCUGAACACAACAGGUAAGCCUGGAAGGCCACCACUUUAUUUCCCAUCUGCACUACAUGUCUGAUCUUAUUAGUUCACACUAAUGCACCCUAAAACACUUAUAGCCCAUCACCAUAUGUGUGUGUGUCUGUGUGUCACGGUAGUCUAUCACGCAUCCCCACAGCUCAAUAAACUCCAGAAUACAGCUUUAAAUUCAUCACUAAUGAUUUAACAUUCAGGUUAGUCGAUAAUGAUUGAAUGUCAAGUCUAGUGAGUGCCAUCUGUGAGCAGAAGCGUGUUUUAUCCACCUGUCAAAUGAGCUGAAACACGCCAAUAUCUCCAUUACACCAGGGGGCAACUGAAUUAUCAAGCCGACUGUAGACACCAGAACACUGAGCUUAUUGAAUCAUCAGAUGGAAGCCACAAUCACAGAUGUCAUCCAACAAGAGCAAUAUAUAGGAUCUAACUUGCUGGAGAACUACUAGUGAUUGUGCCCUAACUCUACAUUUAUAAACCAGUAGGCGCCAUAAAGGUGUGAAGAAUAGACAUACCGUACAGUAUGUGGUACUGUAUCAUGUCAAUCAUUCAACAGAUGACUCUGAGGGAAUAUGUGGAACCGAAUGUAGGACCUUAAAACAACAUAAUGAACCAACUGUUCUGUUUCAGCUUCAAGUUAUUUGUGUCAGAUUAAACAUAUUAUAUGCAAGUUGAA